rnacentral:rRNA from 1 species
CUCCUUUGACGUUAGCGGCGGACGGGUGAGUAACACGUGGGUAACCUACCUAUAAGACUGGGAUAACUUCGGGAAACCGGAGCUAAUACCGGAUAACAUUGGAACCGCAUGGUUCUAAAGUGAAAGAUGGUUUUGCUAUCACUUAUAGAUGGACCCGCGCCGUAUUAGCUAGUUGGUAAAGUAACGGCUUACCAAGGCAACGAUACGUAGCCGACCUGAGAGGGUGAUCGGCCACACUGGAACUGAGACACGGUCCAG